UCUCACCAUCGCUGAUGCACACAAAAGUUGUGGGCAGAUGCCCCCUGCCCAUGGAGGUGCGCUGCAGACAGA